GUGGGGAAUAUUGGACAAUGGGCGAAAGCCUGAUCCAGCCAUGCCGCGUGUGUGAAGAAGGUCUUCGGAUUGUAAAGCACUUUAAGUUGGGAGGAAGGGUAGUAACCUAAUACGUUGCUACUUUGAUGUUACCGACAGAAUAAGCACCGGCUAACUUCGUGCCAGCAGCCGCGGUAAUACGAAGGGUGCAAGCGUUAAUCGGAAUUACUGGGCGUAAAGCGCGCGUAGGUGGUUCAGUAAGUUGGAAGUGAAAUCCCCGGGCUCAACCUGGGAACUGCUUUCAAAACUGCUGAGCUAGAGUACGGUAGAGGGUGGUGGAAUUUCCUGUGUAGCGGUGAAAUGCGUAGAUAUAGGAAGGAACACCAGUGGCGAAGGCGACCACCUGGACUGAUACUGACACUGAGGUGCGAAAGCGUGGGGAGCAAACAGGAUUAGAAACCCCUGUAGUCC
rnacentral:rRNA from 1 species